GGCUUAUGUUGGACAGCUGGGUGAUCUACAUGCACUGACUGCGGUAUAAAUCUUCCUGCCUGCUGCAGGGUUCAGCUGGGAUCAACGUCUCCUCCGUCACAGCGGCUUGGUGCAGCGCCAAUAGCCCAGGGAGAGAAAGAUUGGAGAGGCAGGCAAGCCAAGACACUAGCCAGCAUCCAAAGAACGUCUCAACUGAUUCCACACUCCCGAAAGGGAUUUAGACCUGCAUUUCUUGAACAUUACCCUACCUUCCAGGUAGUUAUUUUUAGCUGCUGCUAUGUGAGCAAUAGCUAGAGGUGUUUUCAAAAGCAGUCUGAGAUGUGUCACAGGGUUCUUUGUUCCCAAGGAUGGAAAAGGCUACACCCCACUGGGUAUAUCCAAAUUUUUGCAUGUGUCUAAAGCAGUUCUUUGGAUCCAGCUUUUUUUCUGUAAAUUUGAUGCAAGUCCUGUAUCAUCCCUGUCACCUGCUGCCCUGUGGUCAAAGAGAAGCAAUGCAUUACUUGUGGUUGGCUGUCUCCCAUAUUCUGCCUAUGGAAUCCCUGGAGGUCAUCACAGUGAGAUGCAGAAUGCUAACUUGGUUGUGAUUCAACUUCAAGCAUCACUCUUCUUAGUUGGACUACAAAAUUAUCCACCAUUAGAAUGUAGUGAGGACCAUCCAAAUGAAAACUGUACAUAUAUUCAUGUCUAAGUCUAAAAACGUUUUAGUAAAAAAAUCAACCCCAAAAGGCUGAGUUGACUUAUCCAUGAUUAAAUGUAACUAUUGUUCCUUAACUCUUUCUUGCUUUUUUUUUUUUGAAGAACCAUCUCCUUCUCUAGGUAAAGUGGCUAAAAGCAAAAGCUUAGUCCAUCCUAGGAGAAGUAACCCUCUAUGAUCCCAUCUAUAGUGCCACUUCUGGCCUUUUUGAAUGCCUGAGUGUGAAAACAAUGGUGUCAGGAAUGGCUCUUUGGCACUACCUUCAAUGAAGUGCCAAAAGAUUAAAAGAGAUUUGCUUCCAGCCCUGCGAGUUGGAAGACUCAAUGCCUGCAACACUUGGCCUUUCUCACAAGAAAAUGUUCUCACUGACACCAUUUGGAAGAAUGUGUUUCCUUUCUAUCACUGCAAAGAUUCCCAUUGUGGCAUCCCAGCCCCUUUCCUUGGUUUAUUUGUAACUAAAAGUGACAUUUCCCAAACAACUGUAAUGAAAAACUUUUUAAUAAAGUAAUGUUGUCCUCAAAC
rnacentral:lncRNA from 11 species